AUGGCAACAUCUUCAAAUACCUUCCCAUCCUCUCCAUUCGCUCACGUCGCCUCGGAGAAACUCACCAAGGGCAACCAGGCACUAUGGCGGGCGACGGUUCUAUCUGCCAUCCGAGGUGCUCAGAUGCAGAAGUACCUCAACGUUGAUCAUCCAGUGCCACCCAUGGAGCUGGAAAUCAUGGACUCCGACGGGAAGACCAAGAAGAAGGCGCCCAACCCGGAGUUCCAAACCUGGUAUGCACAAGAUCAGCAAGUUUUCUCAUAUCUUCUGACAACGCUGCCCCGUGAGAUGGCAAUUCAGGUUGCCACUUGCCACACCUCGGCGGAGCUAUGGAACACGGUUCAGGGGAUGCUGGCCUCGCAGACCCGUGCCGCGACUGUGAAUGUCUGGAUCGCCCUCGCCAAUCUUCAGAAAGGAAACAGCUCCAUCACCGAGUACGUUGGCAAGAUCCGAACCCUCUGUGAUGAACUUGCCGCAGCAGGAAAGAGGAUGGACAAGGAGGACGUCGUCUCCCACAUCCUGGACGGGCUUGAAGAAGACUUCGACCCGGUGGUCUCCGCCAUGUGCUCCCGAGUGGAGCCAGUCACCGUGCCGGAGCUGUACUCGUAG
rnacentral:rRNA from 1 species